GACGAACGCUGGCGGCGUGCUUAACACAUGCAAGUCGAACGAUGAAGAAAAGAAUCGAAGCUUCGGCAGAAAUUCAUUUCGGAUUAGUGGCAGACGGGUGAGUAACGCGUGAGCAACCUACCUCUUACAAAGGGAUAGCCUCGGGAAACCGGGAUUAAUACCAUAUAACAUUGCGACGAAGCAUUUCGAUGCAAUCAAAGCUACGGCGGUAAGAGAUGGGCUCGCGUCCCAUUAACCGGAUGGUGAGGUAACGGCUCACCAUAGUGACGAUGGGUAACCGGGCUGAGAGGGUGAACGGUCACACUGGAGCUGAGACACGGUCCAGACUCCUACGGGAGGCAGCAGUGGGGAAUAUUGCACAAUGGAGGGAACUCUGAUGCAGCGACGCCGCGUGAGUGAUGAAGGAAUUCGUUUCGUAAAACUCUGUUCUAUGGGAAGAAAAGGACUGUACCAUAGGAGAAAGCUCCGGCUAAAUACGUG
rnacentral:rRNA from 1 species